GCGCCCUUAGCUCAGCUGGACAGAGCACCGGACUUCUAAUCCGACGGUCGCAGGUUCGAAUCCUGCAGGGCGCGCC
rnacentral:tRNA from 2 species